AUUCAGUCUGUAGCCGCGGACGCGGUCGAUCGGAAGAACCAGAGCAGGGCUUCCCUCGAGCAGGGGCCGUCCGAUCACGCGUCACCCCGCGGCAGCCGACGCAUUUGUCUCUCGCCCGAAGGACGCCGCAGCCGGUUGGGUAGCAGCAAGCGCGACGGCCUGAGAGGCGGAAACAAGGCAGGUGGCCGGUGGCGCGUCCAGUACGCGUCGGCCGGUUGUUAGCCGUUCCGUCGGUGGCACGUCACCCGACCGAGGUAUCGCUACGCCCGCAAGGGCUCCUCCGUCUCCUCCUUAAAAGGAAGCGGGACAGAUCGUCGCAGGCGAAGUCCGCCUCCUGUCGCACUCCCRGCGAGUGGACAGGCGAACGGGAGGCUCCGAUGGCGACGACGGACCCGUGGGGGUUGCCGGAGGCUGGCGGCGAGUAGGUCGGUCACCCACCCGACCCGUCUUGAAACACGGACCAAGGAGUCUAACAUGUGCGCGAGUCGUCGGGUCUUGCACAGGCCCGAAGGCGCAAUGAAAGCGAAGGCCGUUCUGACGACGGCUGAGUUGGGAUCCCCGCUUSRCGGCGGGGCGCACCAACGACCCGUCCUAUCCGGCUCGCCGGUUGGGCGGAGUUUGAGCGUACACGUUGGGACCCGAAAGAUGGUGAACUAUGCCCGGACAGGACGAGGCCAGAGGAAACUCUGGUGGAGGUCCGCAGCGGUUCUGACGUGCAAAU
rnacentral:rRNA from 1 species